AUCCCACGUGUGGAUGGCGAGUAAGACCUGAAAGUGUCCUGAGACAUAGCUUAGGUCUUCAGAGAUGUCUAUGUUUCCCUGAGCUGCUGAAUCAUCGAGCAGGUGAGAACAAAUGAGGUAAUAGGGCUGCUCAACUGCAGUGAGUUUGCAUUCAUGGACGUGACCAAGAAAACCAAGGCUUCCAGUGAGUCCCUUCACCUCACCUUGGUGGUGUUCUUGGGUGGCUGCACAUUCUCUGAGAUCUCAGCUCUCCAGUUCCU
rnacentral:lncRNA from 1 species